rnacentral:lncRNA from 1 species
CUCGAUGGAGGGGUCAGGUAAAUUUAAGUCUUUCUUUUGAGGCAGGGUCACACUAGGUUGCCUAGGCUGGCCUUGAACUUAUGAUCCUCUUGCCUUAGCCUUUGGAAGUCACUGGAAUUAUAGACAUGUGCUAUUGUGCUGGUUCAGAUAUUCUUUCCUGAGAGGCUACUAUGUGCUGAGACUUAAUGCCCAAUUUCAAGGAGCUUUGGCAUUAAAAAAUAGUACAGGAUAUGAGACAUAUACAAAAAUAAAUGUCUAUAAUUCAAGAAAGAAUGUGAUGUGAGGUGUGGGAAAAUUAAUGUUAUGGUGAAAGUUGAGAUGCCACCCAGGACUGAGAGGUUGGUGACUUUAGAGUAGGACCCUGGAGCAUGCUUAGGACUUGGAUAUGUAGGCAUGGUUAGGGAGGUGAAGGGGAACUUACAGAGGGAGGACAAACUUGCCCUUGAAGUUCAAAUGCCCAGCUGACAUUUAAAGUGAAAAAAACAUUCCACCAAGGGAGAAAGAGCCAUGCCAAAUUGUAGGAGCUUCUGGAAAAAAUUAGCUAGUCAUAAGACUGUGAAGGGCUGGGCAGGAUAGACCAUGUUUAAGGUGUGGGCCACUUUGAGUUAGCACCUACUGUAUCUGCCUUAAUUCAAGGUUGUAUUUCACAAAAACACAGCCCUGCCCCUCAGAACUUCUUUGUAAAGCCAGGACCAGAAUACAGGAGCAAAGAUUAGGCUAGGUCACUGGAGAGAGGUAGAACCCAGGAUAAGAGGGCAUUAGCUAUUUGGGGCCCCUUCCCAGGUCUCAUCCCACACCAGGUCCUGAAAACUGUGGGGGAUGGGUACCAGGGAUUGAACCCAGGGCGCUUAGCCACUGAGUCACAUCCCCAGCCCUUUUUAUUUUUUGAGACAGGGCCUUGCUAAGUUACUUAGUUAUUGAGGCUAGCCUCUAACUUGCAAUCCUCCUGCUUCAACCUCCUGAGUUGCUAGGAUUAUAGGUGUGUGCCACCAUGCCCAGCCUGAAAGUAUUUAUAAAUGCUUUUAACUAUGUAAAUAAAUAAGAAGCAUCUGGGAACCCCAAUUAGGCCUCAUCUAUGGAAGUCACAAUCCUUGUGGCUUUCACAUUUCCUCAAACUACUAUUUAAUAUCAGCAGCCUGAGCUUCUGCCCUCCUGACCUCCCCUUUAUGGGAUCAUCCUUCUCAAUACUAAUUUCUCUAGAAUGGUUGUGGCUCAUCCCACAAAGGGAGGAAGGUGUCUCCUCUAAUAUUCCAAGGAGUUCAAGGACUCCUUUUUUUUUUUUUUUUUCUAAUUUUUUUACUUUAGUAGAAUUCCCUCUCACAUUUAUAUAUGGUCACUUUUUUUCUAUUGGCAUCAGCCCAGACAUGGAACACACAGAACUUUUUCUUUAUUUUCUCUGAAAUCAGUAUGUACCCAAAUUUGAGGUGUUAAAGGGAGAGGUUUAACUCAUAGCCAGUACAGACACACCGAAUGUUCUAGUCCUUCCAUCAUUCCUGUCCUAGGGAAUAUCUCCCUGGCUAGACUGUUCUUCAGAGUCCCUUUGGGUAGCUGGUCAUUCUCACUCACCCCUGCUGCUUCCUUACUUUAUUGGCUCCCUUAUUUCCUUCAUCCUUGGGUUUACCCGACCCUAUACCCAAGAAUCAAAAUUCCUCUCACUAUAUUUUCAGUAGUACUUAUCUCUAACUCUGAACUAUCUGGAGUAGAGAAAAGGAAGAACAAGAAUCCAUUUUUCUUUUCAUAUCAGAACAUACUAUUAAGGCAUUUCCUGAGCAAAGACAGUUUCCCAAGAGGAAUCCUACAGUCAGCUUUUCCGAUAAAAAUCUUUAUCUCAUCUCAUUGUAAUAACAACUACUUUUUUUUUCUUAGCAAACACCUCUAAUUCUUAUGACCAUGAUAAGUACAGUCAUCUCCAUUUCACAGAUAAGAAAAUGGAGGCUCACAGAUUUAGCACAGAAUGAAAAUCCCAAGAUUUAGAGUCUGAAUAUCUUACUUUCAAGGCUCACUCUUAUGCUGAUAGUAGAACUUUUUGGAAAAGAAUUUGUUAGAAUUUAUCAAUCUUAAAAAUAUCCACCGCAUUGGGACUGGGGUUAUGGCUCAGUGGUAGAGCACUUGCCUAGUAUGUGUGAGGCACUGGGUUUGAUUCUCAGCACCACAUAUAAAUAUAAAUAUAAAGUAAAGGUGCAUCAAUAACUAGCAAAAAUAUUUUUAAAAAUAUCCACCUCCUUUAAAGUAGUAAUUCUACUGACAGGAAGCUAUCUAACAAAGUGAUGCUAAACAGCGUAAUACACAAUAAUGUUUGCAAAAUGUGGAAGUAGCCUAAAUGGCUUGUUAAUACGUAGCCAUUUAAAAAUGAAAUGGGGGGCUUAGGUUGUGGCUCAGUGGUAGAGUGCUUACCUGGCACCUGUGAGGCACUGGGUUAGAUCAUCAGCACCACAUAAAAAUAAAUAAAAUAAAGGUAUUGUAUCGAUCUAAAAAUACUAAAUAUAUGUAUUUUUAAAAAAUAAAUAAAAAUUAAAAUUAAAUGGGGCUGGAAAUGUAACUCAAUUCUACAGCACUUGCCUAAUAUGCACAAGGCUCUGGAUUUGAGCUAUAGCAUCACUAAAAACAAAGCAAAACAAAGUCUCAUAAGCAUCAUCUCCAUUUGGUAUUUAAGAUUUAUUUUGAAUGUUUUUUCUUUUGUAAUUUUUGUAAUUCUGGGUAUCAAACCAAAGGCCCUGUACAUGCUAGGCAAGCAUACUACCAUUAAGCUACAUCCCCCAGCUCUAAUACUUUUUAUUUUAGUACCUGGGAUUGAACCCUGAGGCCCUUAACCACUGAGCCACAUCCUCAGCCCUUUUUAUAUUUUAUUUUGAGACAGGAUUUCUCUAAGUUGCAUAGGGCCUCCAUCAAUUACAGAGGCUAGCUUUGAAUUUAUGAUCCUCCUGCCUCUUGGGCCGCUGGGAUUACAAGUAUGUACCACUAUGCCUAGUUCCCUAAUACUUAUUUUUAAAUAUCAUCUCAAACUUCCCUUCAGAACUCUUAGAUUAUACCUGUUUCUGGGGAAGCAAGACCUGGCCAGGCCCCUGGAGAGCUUGAAUAGAAGGUGGGUGUUAUAGUUUGGAUCUGAAAUGUCCUCCAAAAGGCCUGGUCCCAAAAGAAUUGGUCCCAGGACUGGGGUUUAGCUCAGUGGCAAAGCAUGUGUCUAGUAUGUGAAAGGUCGUGGGUUUGAUCCCCAGCACCAUCAAAAAAAAAAAAAAAAAAAAAUAGAGAGAGAGAGAAAGAAAAGGCUUGAUCCUCAGAUUAUCACUAUUGGGAGGUUGGUGGAGCCUUUAAGAGGUGGGGUCUAGCAGGAGGUCUAUAGAUCAUUGGGAGCAUACCAUUGAAGGGGAUAGUGGGGGCCUAGGCCCCUUCUUCUCCUCUUUCACUUUAUGUCAUGAGAUGAGCCGAUAUGUUCUGCCAUGUGUUUCUACCAUGAUAUGCUGCCACAGACCCAAGCAAUGGGACCAAUCACAGACUGAAACCUCUAAAACUAUGAGCCUAAAUGAACUUUUUUUUUUCCUUUAUAAGUUGAUAAGCUCAAAUAUUCAUUAUAGUAGCAGAAAGCAGACAGUGGGGAAUGUGAUCUGUCUAAGAAUUCCCCACUUGUUCUUCUCUGCAGUCAGGGCUGGGGACAGGGAUGGGGAGUUGGUGGUCUUCCUAACUGACAAACUUGAGAUAAUGGUGGUCUUUUUAUUGAUUGCUGCUAUUAUUCAAAAUUGGCUGUUGUCUCUCUGUAUAUGGUAGCAUCCAGAAACUUGUUCUUUUGUGCAGAACAUUUCUGAAUCUCUAGCUUCCCUCUCUGUAAAAUGGAAAGAAUACAAAUUACCUUAGUUGGGUGAUGUUGAAUAGAAAACAUGUAUGGGGGUGCUGGGGAUGUGGUUCAAGGGUGGUGCGCUCGCCUAGCAUGCGUGAGGCACUGGGUUCGUUUCUCAGCACCACAUAAAAAUAAAAAAUAAAAGAUAUUGUGUCUACUUAAAAUUAAAAAAUAAAUAUUUAAAAAAGAAAAAUGUAUGGGAAUAUUAAUAGCUCCAAAGCAUAUGUAAAUGUUGAUUAUUCCUUAGAAGAGUCAUAUCUACUAUUAUUUCAAACGGACACCUCCAUUCAAGAGAUGAAAUAGGGCUGGGUGCAGUGGCACAUGCCUGUAAUCCCAGCAGCUCUGGAGGCUGAGGCAGGAGUAUCACAAGUUCAAGGUUAAUCUUAACAAUUUAGGGAGACUUUCAGCAACUUAAUGAAAAUCUAUCUUGAAAUAGAAAAUAAAAAGGGUUGGGGGGUGUAGUUCAGGAGUGAAGUGCCCCUGCAGUACCAAAAAAAGAAAGAGAGAGAGAGAUGAAAUAGGCAUUUCUUUCUCUUUUUUUAUACUGAGUAUUGAAAUAAGGGGCCACUGAGCCACAUCCCCAGCCCUAUUUUUUAUUUAGAGAUAGGGUCUCACUGAGUUGCUUAGCACCUCACUUUUGCUGAGGUUGGCUUUGAACUCACGAUCCUCCUGCCUCCACCUCCCAAGCUGCUGGGAUGACAGGCGUGUACCACCACACCUGGCUUAUUGCUUUCUUUUUGUGUAUGUGUAUUUUAUUGGGGAUUAAACACAGGAACUGAGCUACAUCCCCAUCCCUUUUUAUUUUUAUUUAUUUAAAAAAAUUUUAGUUGUAUGUGAACACAAUAUCUUUAUUUUUGUUUAUUUUUUUUAUUUAUUUAUUUUUUAAAUGUUUUUAAGUUGUUGAUGGGCCUUUAUUUUGUUCAUUUAUUUAUUUUUUUUUUUUAGUGUGAAAAAUGUAUGGAAUUUUUUUUUAAAACAAAAAGGCAAUGUUAUUAAUGUUUGUUAAUAUCGAACAUGCAUAAUACAAACAAAAACAUGAGAGCAAUGAUACCAACUUGAGGGCAAUGACUAUAUUCAGGAGACAGGGGGAUCAAGGAAGGGGAGAAAGGGACUCAACUUUUAUCUGACAUUUUAUUAAAAGCAUACCCCAUAAGGACAUGGCAAAAUAUCAAUGUAGUAAAUUUGGAGAGCAUGAUUAAAUGAGCAUUUGUUAUUUUAUUACUUUGGGUAUGUCUGAAAUCUUGUUUCCAAUAAGAGGAAAAGGAAUUAAGCAGCCAGUUUUCGGGGAGCUGGGUGUGCACCAUCUCGCUGCUGAGAUGCAGGGUCUGCUAUAUAAAUUAUCUGGGGCUUUUACUUGAGUUGUGCCUCAUUAGCAAUCAUCUCUAGCACCAAUUAGAAAAAUUGAAUCUCCAUACGAAAUUACAUGGUCUGCAAUUAAGCAGCGCCUGGCUGCCAGUGGGAGGGCCGCUCCUUCCAAGCCAGAGCUCCGCGCUCCAGGAAAGGGAGAGGGCGCUGGACCCAGGGCGUCACAGGCACCGCGGGCGCCCUGCGUGCUUCCCUCCCCUUGCUCGGUUCCUCUGAAAUCGGUUUCCC